AAAUCUGCCAUAGAGCGAGCUAUUCAUCACGAACAAGAUGUGCUGAAGGAGCUUAUCAAAGCUUGGAAAAAUGCAGAAAUUUGGCUUUGAACUGGUACUUUUCACUUGGUAUUCUGCAGAAAAUCACACUAAGGUGGUAUUUUCAGACUGAAAUGUACAUAAGUGUUCUACUGUAAUUUGACUUCUUACUAUGGAUUGUGCCAGUUUUCGUGGAAAUUAACUAAUUUACUAAUCUCAAGAAACGAAUUCACCUUUACAGAAGAGGAAACUAAUUCAGAGGGAUAAAUCAACUUGUCCAGGUCCAUGGAAACAGUUAUCCAGUCAGUAAGCUGGUGGUAAGCUGGAUAAUGGCUCACGAAGUUUCAGCGAAUGUUAUACCAGCAGAAACCCUGCCAGCUUGGACUGAAAAUGACUGAGAGGAUA